UUUAGUAAUGGAAUAUAUAGGAAAGGAGGGAGAGAGAGAGAAGAGGAGGGAGGGAAGCAGGACAGGGCAAGUGAAAGGGAGAGAUCUAAAUUGCAAUGGUGGAAAAAGUACCCAAUUGUCAUAUUUAAGUAAAAGUAAAGAUGCCUUAAAAGAAAAUGACCCAGUAAAAUACUACUUGAGUAAAAGUCUUUGGUUUUAAAUGUACUUAAGUAUCAAAAGUAAAAGUAUAAAUAUUUUGUUGUUUUAUAUAUUUUUUUAUUUUACAGAUUGCCAGGGGCACAGUUCAACACUCAGACAUCAUUUACAGAUAGCCAGGGGCACAGUUCAACACUCAGACAUCAUUUACAGAUAGCCAGGGGCACAGUUCAACACUCAGACAUCAUUUACAAAUGAAGCAUUUGUGUUUAGUGAGUCCUCCAGAUCAGAGGCAGUAGAUGACCAGGGAUGUUCUCUGUUUAGUGAGUCCUCCAGAUCAGAGGCAGUAGAUGACCAGGGAUGUUCUCUGUUUAGUGAGUCCUCCAGAUCAGAGGCAGUAGGGAUGACCAGGGAUGUUCUCUGUUUAGUGAGUCCUCCAGAUCAGAGACAGUAGAUGACCAGGGAUGUUCUGUUGAUAAGUGCGUGAAUUGGACCAUGUUCUUGUCCUGCUAGCCAUUCAAAAUGUAACGAGUACUUAUGGUUGUCAGGGAAAAUGUAAGGAGUAAAAAGUACAUUAUUCUCUGUAGGAUUGUAGUGGAGUAAAUGUAAAAGUUGUCAAAAAUAUAAAUAGUAAAGUAAAGUACCCCCAAAAACUACUUAAGUAGUACUUUAAAGUAUUUUCACUUAAGUACUUUACACCGCUGCUAAAUUGUACAUCUGAGGAUGCCCUGUCCACCACACACACAUAUACUCACACACCGGUGUUGCCAGUCGGAGUUUGUUUGCCAGGGAAGCCAUAUCCUGUCUCUCCUUCCCCAUCUGAUAGCGGAGUUGAAGGAGCACAGCAAGAGGAGCAUGGAAAUCAACGAUGGUCGCAUGUCACGAGCCGUGGAAGCCGAAGACAGCGGCGUCCUGCAAAGCAGUCGACACUCCCGACGAGAGGCCCGGAGCGGAUACAAACCACAAAUAGUGUCACCGCCCUGGAGCCUGCUCUUCCUGCACCUUCGUCGCUCGGGGUACCUGUGGGGAUCCAUAAUAAAUACAAAGACACACACACGCAAGGCAUGACAUUUGUGAUGUCAUUGAAGGGACUCAUUUGAAUGCCGAUUGGCCAGCCAGAACCCCUGUUGCUCUGGGCGACGGAGCCCUGACAGAAGAAUGUGAUUGGUCAGAGAGGUUGUUAACCCCGUCACACACGGAGAGGGCAACCACGCACACGCACACACACACACACACACCCAUCAAAGCAUCUUCUCUUGUUCAGCGCUGAUUGCCAAUUUGUCUGAGGAGGUUUUACAAGACAGAAUGAAAAGAGUAAAGGACUGAAAGAAAGGGUGAGAAACAAUGAUUGAACAGAGAAUGAGAGUAGAGACUGAAAUGGACAUGAGAGGAGGAGAGGAGGAGAGGAGGUGAGGAGGAGAGGAANNNNNNNNNNGGGGGGGGGGGGGACAAAUCCAUUAUCGACUCACAAUACAUAUAGAAUUGUGAGAUUUGCAAAACAUAUCGAAUCAGCACCUAAUUAUCGUGUGAUACAGUCCUGCUGUGUCUGUAUGUUGCGCGUGUGUUUUAUGAAGUAUAUUUCUCUGCAGAAAGUGCUGGUCUGUGUGCUGGUCUGUCUAGCCAUCCCUCUGGGCCUGUUGUGUCAAAAAUCUGCUCUGGAAACACUCGGGCCCCUGCUGUGUGUGUAUGUCAGGGUCUCUCUCCACUCUGUAGUCCCCAGCCCCGAGAGAGAGAGACAGACGGACGGACAGACGGACGGACGGACGGACGAGUUGAGUUCUUGGACAGACAGUGAUCUGCAUUGUACUCCUCACAGACACUAGGCCUGCAUCCCCACCACAGCUCAUUCACAACCAUCAACACUGACCAAACAGACAUGCACACACACGCACAUAGAGACACACUAAUGAGACAAGAGCACUCAGCCUUGUGCUAAUGUCCUCUUUCUGUUCUCUCUUUUCUCUUCCUCCACUUGUCUGUUAUUGGGCUGUUGGUUGAUUAGCAGAUAGAGGAAAGCGUCUGUCGGAUCAUUAACUCACUUGGCCAGACAAGACCUAUUUAAACAUGUCACCCCUUCUCUCCAUCGGCCCCUCCCUCCCCUUCAUCUCCUCCUCGCUUUAUCUCUUUCCUAUCUUCCCACCGCUCUACUUGCCCCCAUAUGUCUGUCUGUCUGUCUGUCUGUCUGUCUGUCUGUCUGUCUGUCUGUCUGUCUGUCUGUCUGUCUGUCUGUCUGUCUGUCUGUCUGUCUGUCUGUCUGUCUGUGUCUCUCUUUCUCUCUCUGUCCAGUUAGUGGUAAUGUUGCAGAUCAAUGUAAGCCUACAGUGUGUUUGAAUCCAGAAAUACUCACAAAAUAAAGUAAUAGUGUGAAUGUGUGCUUUCACAGAGGCAUGACAUUUGUGAUGUCAUUGAAGGGACUCAUUUGAAUGCCGAUUGGCCAGCCAGAACCCCUGUUGCUCUGGGCGACGGAGCCCUGACAGAAGAAUGUGAUUGGUCAGAGAGGUUGUUAACCCCGUCACACACGGAGAGGGCAACCACGCACACGCACACACACACACACACACCCAUCAAAGCAUCUUCUCUUGUUCAGCGCUGAUUGCCAAUUUGUCUGAGGAGGUUUUACAAGACAGAAUGAAAAGAGUAAAGGACUGAAAGAAAGGGUGAGAAACAAUGAUUGAACAGAGAAUGAGAGUAGAGACUGAAAUGGACAUGAGAGGAGGAGAGGAGGAGAGGAGGUGAGGAGGAGAGG
rnacentral:lncRNA from 13 species